GACGAACGCUGGCGGCGUGCUUAACACAUGCAAGUCGAACGAAGUGGCGAACGGGUGAGUAAUACGUGAGUAACCUGCCCUCCUUUUUGGGAUAAGCCUUGGAAACGGGGUCUAAUACCGAAUAAUGGGGGAUGGGCUCGCGGCCUAUCAGCUUGUUGGUGGGGUGAUGGCCUACCAAGGCGGUGACGGGUAGCCGGCCGGAGAGGGUGACCGGCCAAAUUGGGAAUGAGAUACGGACCAGAAACAUACGGGAGGGAGGAAUGGGGGAUAUUGCGCAAUGGGCGAAAGCAUGAAGCGACGACGCCGCGUGGGGGAUGAAGGCUUUCGGGUUGUAAACAUCUGGAGCUAUCGAAAGGGUAGAUGGAGAAGAAGCGCCGGCUAACUACGUGCCAGCAGCCGCGGUAAUUC
rnacentral:rRNA from 1 species